CACGAGUGCUGGUGCGGAUCUGUGCUCAUCGGCAGCUCUGGAGGAGGCAGUGAGCUACAUGUGGAUUCAAGCUGGACGAUACAACUAACCGUUCUCACCUGAGCAUCCUUCAUUCUCUUCCCCUGUCCUCGCCCUCUCACCUGCAGCCCGUCCUGCAUGAGUGGGUCAGUGUCUCCUCACUCAAAGGUCAGGGAUGUCUCCUCACAACAGCUGCUUCUCAAUUCAAAGAACACCGAGGACAGACUGGUGUUCUUCUGGAGUCUGGACUUGGGAGUCCAGACUCCGAAGGACAGGAGGACGGAGGAGGUCUUUCUGCAAUUGGACCAGCUGCUGACUUGAUGACGUCACCACAUCAGCUGUUCUUGCUCAUGACUUUACUCCAAUUAUUCACUGUACAUAAUUUUUUACAGUAAAACCCAAUAUGACAA